UACGGGGGGAGCAAGCGUUGUUCGGAUUUACUGGGCGUAAAGAGCUCGUAGGUGGUUUGUCGCGUUGUUCGUGAAAACUCACAGCUUAACUGUGGGCGUGCGGGCGAUACGGGCAGACUGGAGUACUGCAGGGGAGACUGGAAUUCCUGGUGUAGCGGUGGAAUGCGCAGAUAUCAGGAGGAACACCGGUGGCGAAGGCGGGUCUCUGGGCAGUAACUGACGCUGAGGAGCGAAAGCGUGGGGAGCGAACAGG
rnacentral:rRNA from 1 species